rnacentral:rRNA from 1 species
UACAGAGGUCCCGAGCGUUGUUCGUAUUCACUGGGCGUAAAGGGUGCGUAGGCGGUCGGGUAAGUCUGAUGUGAAAUCUCACAGCUUAACUGUGAAACUGCAUUGGAUACUAUUCGGCUUGAGAGUUGGAGGGGGGACUGGAAUUCUUGGUGUAGCAGUGAAAUGCGUAGAUAUCAAGAGGAACACCAGUGGCGAAGGCGAGUCCCUGGACAACUUCUGACGCUGAGGCACGAAAGCUAGGGGAGCAAACAGG